rnacentral:rRNA from 1 species
UACGUAGGGGGCAAGCGUUGUCCGGAAUCAUUGGGCGUAAAGCGCGUGUAGGCGGCUCGGUAAGUCUGCUGUGAAAGUCCAGGGCUCAACCCUGGGAUGCCGGUGGAUACUGUCGAGCUCGAGUCCGGAAGAGGCGAGUGGAAUUCCUGGUGUAGCGGUGAAAUGCGCAGAUAUCAGGAAGAACACCCGUGGCUAAGGUGGUUCUCUAGUACGGUACUGACGCUGAGACGCGAAAGCGUGGGGAGCGAACAGG